rnacentral:rRNA from 1 species
GUAAGGAAUAUUGGUCAAUGGGCGCAAGCCUGAACCAGCCAUGCCGCGUGCAGGAAGACGGCCCUAUGGGUUGUAAACUGCUUUUGUACCGGAAUAAACCUUCUCUUGCGAGAGAAGCUGAACGUACGGUAAGAAUAAGGAUCGGCUAACUCCGUGCCAGCAGCCGCGGUAAUACGGAGGAUCCAAGCGUUAUCCGGAUUUAUUGGGUUUAAAGGGUGCGUAGGCGGCUUUUUAAGUCAGGGGUGAAAACUUGCGGCUCAACCGUAAGCUUGCCUUUGAUACUGAGGAGCUUGAAUACACUUGAGGUAGGCGGAAUGUGACAAGUAGCGGUGAAAUGCAUAGAUAUGUCACAGAACACCAAUUGCGAAGGCAGCUUACUAAAGUGUGAUUGACGCUGAGGCACGAAAGCGUGGGGAUCAAACAGGAUUAGAAACCCGAGUAGUCC